rnacentral:rRNA from 1 species
AGUUAAGUGACUAAGCGUACACGGUGGAUGCCUAGGCAAUCAGAGGCGAAGAAGGACGUGCUAAUCUGCGAAAAGCUUGGAUGAGUUGAUAAGAAGCGUUUAAUCCAAGAUAUCCGAAUGGGGAAACCCGAUGGAUGAAGAAUCCAUCAUUUCAUUAUGAAUCCAUAGUAAUGAAAGGCAAACCGGGAGAACUGAAACAUCUAAGUACCCCGAGGAAAAGAAAUCAACCGAGAUUUUGUAAGUAGCGGCGAGCGAAAGCGAAAGAGCCAGUGAGUGAUAACAGCAAAGACAGAAGAAUUGGCUGGGAAGCCAAGCGAGACAGGGUGAUAGCCCCGUAUUCGAAGUUUAUGUUGUGGUACUAAACUUGCAACAAGUAGGGCGGGACACGAGAAAUCCUGUUUGAAGAUGGGGGGACCAUCCUCCAAGGCUAAAUACUCCUGAUUGACCGAUAGUGAACCAGUACUGUGAAGGAAAGGCGAAAAGAACCCCAGUGAGGGGAGUGAAAUAGAACCUGAAACCGUGUACGUACAAGCAGUGGGAGCCCGAAAGGGUGACUGCGUACCUUUUGUAUAAUGGGUCAGCGACUUAUAUUUUGUAGCGAGGUUAACUGAAUAAGGGAGCCGAAGGGAAACCGAGUCUUAACUGGGCGGAUAGUUGCAAGGUAUAGACCCGAAACCCGGUGAUCUAGCCAUGGGCAGGUUGAAGGUUGGGUAACACUAACUGGAGGACCGAACCGACUAAUGUUGAAAAAUUAGCGGAUGACUUGUGGCUGGGGGUGAAAGGCCAAUCAAACCGGGAGAUAGCUGGUUCUCCCCGAAAUCUAUUUAGGUAGAGCCUUAUGUGAAUACCUUCGGGGGUAGAGCACUGUUUCGGCUAGGGGUCCAUCCCGGAUUACCAACCCGAUGCAAACUGCGAAUACCGAAGAGUAAUGCAUAGGAGACACACGGUGGGUGCUAACGUCCAUCGUGGAGAGGGAAACAACCCAGACCGCCAGCUAAGGUCCCAAAGUCUAUAUUAAGUGGGAAACGAAGUGGGAAGGCUUAGACAGCUAGGAUGUUGGCUUAGAAGCAGCCAUCAUUUAAAGAAAGCGUAAUAGCUCACUAGUCGAGUCGGCCUGCGCGGAAGAUGUAACGGGGCUAAAAUAUAGCACCGAAGCUGCGGCAUCAGGCGUAUCACUAAUACGCCUUACGAUUAACAACAUCGAAUGAAGUGAAACGGAAAGAGAUGUUGGUCAAGCAACCCGAACGUUGAGUCGGAAAGUAAUCGAAGAGAGGAUUAUUAGUGAUACGUCUGUUGGGUAGGGGAGCGUUGUGUAAGCGGAUGAAGGUGAAUCGAGAGGUUUGCUGGACGUAUCAGAAGUGCGAAUGCUGACAUAAGUAACGAUAAAACGAGUGAAAAACUCGUUCGCCGGAAGACCAAGGGUUCCUGUCCAACGUUAAUCGGGGCAGGGUGAGUCGGCCCCUAAGGCGAGGCUGAAAAGCGUAGUCGAUGGGAAACGGGUUAAUAUUCCCGUACUUGGUAAAGCUGCGAUGUGGGGACGGAGAAGGUUAGGUUAGCAGACUGUUGGAUGUCUGUUUAAGUUGGUAGGUGGGGAGUUUAGGCAAAUCCGGACUUCCAUAACACUGAGAGAUGAUGACGAGUUUCUACGGAAAUGAAGUAACUGAUACCACGCUUCCAGGAAAAGCCACUAAGCGAAAGGCUUUACUAAACCGUACUGAAAACCGACACAGGUGGUCAGGUAGAGAAUACUCAGGCGCUUGAGAGAACUCGGGUGAAGGAACUAGGCAAAAUAGCACCGUAACUUCGGGAGAAGGUGCGCUGGCGUAGGUUGUAGGAGUAUACCUCCGAAGGCUGAACCAGUCGAAGAUACCAGCUGGCUGCAACUGUUUAUUAAAAACACAGCACUCUGCAAACACGAAAGUGGACGUAUAGGGUGUGAUGCCUGCCCGGUGCUGGAAGGUUAAUUGAUGGUGUUAUCGAAAGA